rnacentral:rRNA from 1 species
UACGUAGGGGGCGAGCGUUGUUCGGAAUCACUGGGCGUAAAGCGCACGUAGGCGGAUGUGCCAGUCAGGGGUGAAAUCCCGGAGCUCAACUCCGGAACUGCCUCUGAUACAGCACGUCUUGAGUUCGAGAGAGGUGGGUGGAAUUCCUAGUGUAGAGGUGAAAUUCGUAGAUAUUAGGAAGAACACCGGUGGCGAAGGCGGCCCACUGGCUCGAUACUGACGCUGAGGUGCGAAAAGCGUGGGGAGCAAACA